UACGUAGGGUGCGAGCGUUAAUCGGAAUUACUGGGCGUAAAGCGUGCGCAGGCGGUUUUGUAAGCCAGAUGUGAAAUCCCCGGGCUUAACCUGGGAAUGGCAUUUGGGACUGCAAGGCUUGAGUUUGGCAGAGGAGACUGGAACUCCUGGUGUAGCAGUGAAAUGCGUAGAUAUCAGGAGGAAUACCGAUGGCGAAGGCAGGUCUCUGGGCUAGAACUGACGCUCAUGCACGAAAGCGUGGGGAGCAAACAGG
rnacentral:rRNA from 1 species